UUGGCUUUUAAAUGGAGUCGGGAAUGAAUGGAUUUAUGGGGUGAAACUGUCUCCUUUAUAUUAUAUUGAACUUACUCAAUAGGUGAAAAUGCCUAUAAAUAGAAAAAAGACGAGAAGACCCUAGGAGUUUUUACUAAAUGUUAAACUUCAUAUUAACUGUUGUUUUUGUUGGGGCGACAAGGGAGCAUUAAGAAUAAACCUCCUCUUUUAAUUUGCCGACAUAGUAUGAGAAAAUAAACUACCCUAGGGAUAACAGCGUAAUUCUUAAGAGCUUGCGACCUCGA
rnacentral:rRNA from 1 species